CCCAAUCGAUUGUUGCCGCUGUCUUUUUUCUCCGGAAUGUCGGUGAUACCACGACGCUUGUCUGCUUCGAGAAUCAGGUUGAAGCUUUGGAGAAGAUCGAGUUCCCCAAAGUGAAUUGGAAUUCGAUUACUCCAAUCACUGAUAAGGGUUCACCUUAUGCGAAUUUUUGGAUGGAGAGGUGGAUCAUCGUCUCUGUCUCUGAUUAUGCCUCUGAUUCGCUUAGAAAGCUCGUGAAGAUCAAGGGAUGGCAGGUCUUGACGAUUGGGAACUCCAAAACACCGUCAGAUUGGAGCCUUAAAGAUUUUGGUUCCUUGUUGACAAAAUUGGCCUGAGAAUCUCACCCUUGAGUUUGAGAGAUGGUGUCAAGGAAUAGAAAACGCUGCCCUGCUGUCUGUCAUGGUGGUCCUUUGCUAAUGCAGAAUUCUUAGGUGCCCUGUGCGUCGUCAUAAAGAGAUUCUUGUUGCCACAUCAAAUCGUGCUCCAGACAACCUAUACGAAGGUGGAUUACAACAAGAUCUUUUUCUACCAUUUAUUUCCACUCUGAAGGUGUGUAAGUGACUGUAGAUUGGAAAGAUGCAUUGUCCAUCAAAUUGGUUCCUCUGUAGACUAUCGGAAAUUGACUUCGUCUCAACAAGGUUUCUACUUUGUUGGUAAAGAUUUAUCUGAUUUCCUUAAGCAAAGAUUUGAAGAAUUAAUUGGCAAACACAAGGCUGGUCCAAAAGAGGUGGAAGUAGUAAUGGGAAGAACAUUACAAGUUCCACUAGCUGCUGAUGGAUGUGCUUUAUUUACUUUCGAGGAACUUUGCGAGAGACCUCUUAGAGCUGCAGAUUAUUUUGGAUUAUUGAGCUAUAUCUGUGUUGCAUCAGGUUGUUUUACGAGCACCAGUUACGCCCGAUGCAUAUCACACACUAGGACUUGCCCAUGAAGCAUUGGGUGAUAAGAAGAGAGCCUUCAGUUUCUACUUGCUUGCUGCACAUUUAAUGUCCAAAGAUUCAUCCCCCUAGAAAAUGCUUGUUUAUUGGUCAAUGUAAGGUUUUGUUGUUGUUGAUAGUAUUCUUUAAUAUUACCUUUUUUCUUUGUGGUAUAUUUGUAUGUCCAUAUGAUGAGUUCAUCCACGCA